GGACUACCUUCGCUGCCUUCCGUUUAGGAGGUAAGAAGCCUGUAUCGAGUGACCGUUCAAUAUUGAAUUGGUUCAUUGAAGAGCGGCUCAUACCAAGUGGCACAUACACAUUGACCCAAGAUGGCGUGAAAUAAGAUAAUUGAAGAGCGGCAGCUACCGUCACAAACUCAGCGACACAAGUUCGCCUGUGGAGGGGGACCACUUUCGCUACCUUCCUUUUAGGAGGUAAGACGCCUGUAUCGAGUGACCGUUCAAUAGUGAAUAGGUUCAUUGAAGAGCGGCUCACACCAAGUGGAACAUACACUUUGACCCAAGAUGGCGUGAAAUACGAUCACUGAAGAGCGGCAGCUGCCGUCAGAAACUCAGCGAUGCAAGUUCGCCUGCGGAGGAGGACUACC